rnacentral:misc_RNA from 1 species
CAACUUCGUGCUUUCUUAUGUAAGCGGACAUAAAUUAUGGAUUUAAUUAAUCAAUUCUCAAAAUUAUUAAAGAAUUGAUUGGCGUUUACGCCCAAAACGAAAUUNNUAUUGUCUCAGGCUCAGCUUCCAUUCAUUUCCCUGUGUUUUGGAUCUUUAUUUUGCUCAAUUUCACCAGUAUUAAGGAAACAUAUCAGGCAUCUUUCUUUGAGUCUCC